AAGCAUCAAGAAACUAGCUAGCAAUGUCGAAACAGCUGUACUCUGCAGUUCAGCAAAAGACUCUCUCCAACAUCCGAUGAACAGAAAUGAUUAUAUUUUGUUGGAAAACUAUUUUCUCUGCUAUAGAUGCGGGAAAAUUUUUGUAGGAUUUCACUAGAUCUAUUGUUAAAAAGGUGAAGAAGGAUUGUGCCAAACCGGUUUGUUUAUAUUGUCCGUAGUAGCGAGGAUCUGUUUGUCAAAAAGGUGGAGGACUGUGCCAGCCCGGUUUGUUCAUACCGUCCGUAGCAGUUAGGGUCCGAGGCUAGCUAAAUCAGCAAGCGGGAUUGCCCACACACCAUGUGAACCAGUCUUCAUAUGUGACUGAAUCUUCUCUGUGGCGCCCAUCUAUGAAGGGGAAGGAAAAUGUGGAGUUCCCAAUAGGUGCUGUUCACCCAUUGCAAGUGCAUCGCAUUCACAUGUAAAUGAAGGUUGUCAUCGAACGGCAUCUACCAAUAACCACCUCUCAAUUAACGUAGUCCCCGCAUUUGAUGCUUUUCCGGUUUCCUGUGCUUGCAUAGAGGCCCAAGUGUAGCUUUUUCCAUGUAACCAUUUGAACCUGAGGCCUUGGUGCUCCGAAAUGGUCGUGGUGAAGGCUGCUAGCCAACAAGCCGUUUUUAAGGUGAUGCAGCUUCUUACACUUGUCCGUUUGCUGGUGGUUCAUUGCAUCCUUCAGCUGACAGAAGCCAAGCAUUUGGAGGCAACAAUCCUGACACACCCGGUGUCGUGAAAGGUGGGGAGUUCUUGGAGCUAGGAAAUAUGCGCGUCUCCCUCCAUGGCCAUCCUUCUCCCAAGCUCCUGGCCUGGGGGCCCCAUAGCAAACCAAAACAAAAGAACGAGCCUAUGGUUCAACAUCGGCCACAUUUUUGUCCAAACAACCAGCGGAAUCCAGAUCGUGGUUUAUGCUUUUCACCUUUGGCAAGAAGCCAAGUGGCGCGUCUGCAUGCGAUCACAUGGUAGAGGGCUCAAUUGGACGAUUCCAUGUGUCAACAUGUGAUUACGAGUAGAAAGAACCCAUCAGGACAAAGGCUUGAUGCAGAAAUAUGAAUUUCCUCUUCUUGUUUGAACAUUAUUCUACAAUCUGAUGCAAUUCUAAAGAACCGAAAGAAAGGUCUUAUGGUAGGCCCAUCUUUGGCUCCUGUCCUUGCAGUUAUUGUAAGGUCGGUCUUUUUAAUUUUUCAUUUCCGUUUUCCUUGUAUUUCUUAUUUAUUGAAUCCUUUUGCUUUUCUU